UACAGAGACUGCAAGCGUUAUUCGGAUUCACUGGGCGUAAAGGGUGCGCAGGCGGUCGCGUGUGUCAGGUGUGAAAUCUCGGGGCUUAACUCCGAAACUGCGCCUGAAACUACGUGACUAGAGCAUUGGAGAGGGUAGCGGAAUUCACGGUGUAGCAGUGAAAUGCGUAGAUAUCGUGAGGAACACCAGAGGCGAAGGCAGCCCCCUGGGCUAGCACUGACGCUCAGGCACGAAAGCGUGGGGAGCAAACAGG
rnacentral:rRNA from 1 species